AAUAGAUACCCUGGUAGUCCACGCCGUAAACGAUGAGUGCUAAGUGUUAGAGGGUUUCCGCCCUUUAGUGCUGCAGCAAACGCAUUAAGCACUCCGCCUGGGGGAGUACGGCCGCAAGGCUGAAACUCAAAGGAAUUGACGGGGGACCCGCACAAGCGGUGGAGCAUGUGGUUUAAUUCGAAGCAACGCGAAGAACCUUACCAGGUCUUGACAUCCUCUGACCAUCCUAGAGAUAGGACCUUCCCCUUCGGGGGGACAGAGUGACAGGUGGUGCAUGGUUGUCGUCAGCUCGUGUCGUGAGAUGUUGGGUUAAGUCCCGCAACGAGCGCAACCCUUGUUCUUAGUUGCCAGCAUUCAGUUGGGCACUCUAAGGAGACUGCCGGUGACAAACCGGAGGAAGGUGGGGAUGACGUCAAAUCAUCAUGCCCCUUAUGACCUGGGCUACACACGUGCUACAAUGGAUGGUACAAAGGGCUGCGAAGCCGCGAGGUGGAGCCAAUCCCAUAAAACCAUUCUCAGUUCGGAUUGC
rnacentral:rRNA from 1 species